UUAAGCACUCGUCCAAUAUUUUUACAAUGUUUCGCCGCUCCUAAAUACAUAUUUGGGUAUUCAUGUUCACAUAUGUACAUAUACACAUACAUUUACUUUGAUCUAUUUUCGCUGACGUCGCCAUCUUAAUAAAUCUAUUUUGAAAGAUGGAGAUACAAGCUGUAUUUUAUAAACUCUUCCCAAAUGAAAUUGCUGCCAGAGAAUGCUAUGCAGUCAACUAACUGCACAUGUUAUUUCCUAAACUACUAUAACAUCAUAAAAGAUCCAUCCCAUAUCCCAUAAAGUGCUACUCGUUGGGAUUUAGGAAUCUCGAAACUGGGACGAAGUAAACGACUUACUAUUACUAUAACAUCAUAAAUCGUCCCAAUGGGAUUUAGGAAUCUCGAAACUGGGACGAAACCGUAAAAAUUGUAUAACAUAUGCAUGAAGCAUCCAAGUGCUAAUUCUUGUAUUUCAUUUCCUCGUUAUAUUCCAAAUUUUCUUGAAUCUGGGCUUUUGUAUUUCUUCCUAUAAAUGUGCACCUGCAAUUCUACAUAAAUGCACACCCAAAAACCUCGCUCAACAUAUUUACAAUGA